UACGUAGGUGGCAAGCGUUGUCCGGAUUUAUUGGGUUUAAAGGGUGCGUAGGCGGCCCUGUAAGUCAGUGCUGAAAUAUCCCAGCUUAACUGGGAGGGUGGCAUUGAUACUGCGGGGCUAGAGUACAGAUGAGGUAGGCGGAAUUGACGGUGUAGCGGUGAAAUGCUUAGAUAUCGUCAAGAACACCCUAUAGCGAAGGCAGCUUACUAGGCUGUAACUGACGCUGAGGCACGAAAGUGUGGGGAUCAAACAGG
rnacentral:rRNA from 1 species